UUCUUCAGAAAAAUUAAUAAAAAAGAUUAAUUAAUUAGAAGGAAUUCAGCAAGUUUAAUUGCUCCGCCUGUUUAUCAAAAACAUGGCUCUUUGUUUAAUAAAUAUAAAGAGUCGAGCCUGCCCAGUGAAUCUUUUAACGGCCGCGGUACUCUGACCGUGCAAAGGUAGCAUAAUCAUUUGCCUUAUAAUUGAAGGCUAGUAUGAAUGGUUUGACGAGAGCAAUACUGUCUCCUUUUUAUUUUCAAGAACUUAACUUUUAGGUGAAGAGGCCUAAAUUUUAUUGAAGGACAAGAAGACCCUGUCGAGCUUAAAAGAAAUUAUAGAAGUUUAAUAUAUCUUUAGAUAAAUUUCCUAUUAAGCUUUUUAGUUGGGGCGACUGAGGAACAAAAAAAGCUUCUUUCUAAUAAUAAACAAUCACGUUUAGAUCCGAUAGUAGCGAUUAAAGGAAUUAGUUACCGCAGGGAUAACAGCAUAAUCUCUCUUAAGAGACCUAAUCGAAAGAGGGGGUUGUGACCUCGAUGUUGGACUAGAAUAUCCUAAAGAUGCAGA
rnacentral:rRNA from 1 species